rnacentral:rRNA from 1 species
GAUGAACGCUGGCGGCAUGCCUAAUACAUGCAAGUCGAACGAAGUCUUUAGGAAGCUUGCUUCCAAAGAGACUUAGUGGCGAACGGGUGAGUAACACGUAGGUAACCUGCCCAUGUGCCCGGGAUAACUGCUGGAAACGGUAGCUAAAACCGGAUAGGUAUGAGGGAGGCAUCUUCCUCAUAUUAAAGCACCUUCGGGUGUGAACAUGGAUGGACCUGCGCGCAUUAGCUGUGUGAGUACGGCCACCAAGGCGAUGAUGCGUAGCCGACCUGAGAGGGUGAACGGCCACAUUGGGACUGAGACACGGGCCCAAACUCCUACGGGAGGCAGCAGUAGGGAAUUUUUCGUCAAUGGGGGGAACCCUGGAACGAGCAAAGUGCCGCGUGCGUGAAGAAGGUCUUCGGAUC